CCUACGGGCGGCUGCAGUGAGGAAUAUUGCGCAAUGGAGGCAACUCUGACGCAGCCAUGCCGCGUGCAGGAUGAAGGCGCUACGCGUUGUAAACUGCUUUUAACCGGGAAGAAACCCCAGGACGUGUCCUGGGUUGACGGUACCGGAGGAAUAAGCACCGGCUAACUUCGUGCCAGCAGCCGCGGUAAUACGAAGGGUGCAAGCGUUAUCCGGAUUCAUUGGGUUUAAAGGGUGCGUAGGCGGAGCGUUAAGUCAGUGGUGAAAUCCCGCAGCUCAACUGUGGAAUUGCCAUUGAUACUGGCGCUCUUGAGUGCGGUUGACGUGGGCGGAAUGUGCCGUGUAGCGGUGAAAUGCUUAGAUAUGGCACAGAACACCGAUCGCGAAGGCAGCUCGCGAAGCCGCAACUGACGCUGAGGCACGAAAGCGUGGGGAUCGAACAGGAUUAGAUACCCCGGUAGUC
rnacentral:rRNA from 1 species